AUCGCUUCUCGGCCUUUUGGCUAAGAUCAAGUGUAGUAUCUGUUCUUAUCAGUUUAAUAUCUGAUAUGUCCUCUAUAUGAGGACAACAUAUUAAGCCGAUUUUUGGCAGCGGGAGUUGAAAAAGGAGCUAGCUCCGUUCAGUCCAAGCAUCGCCCCGGUACUGCAGUGCCGCCGGAAAUGGUGCACGCUUC